rnacentral:lncRNA from 1 species
GAGCACGCGGUGCCGUGGCUCCCGAGCCCGUGUGCGGUGGGGCAGCCCUGGGCCACCUUGGCUCCCCUCUAUCCCCACCCCCCACAGCCACGGAGGCUGCUGCCUCAGUGUACCCAGGUAGCUCUGAGAAGGGCAGUCAGGACCUUCUUCCCCCUCAGCCCAGGGCCCACCCUUCUCCAGAGCCCCUGCGAGGCUGCCCAGGAGGGCUGAGUCACCUACAGGAGUGACCUGCCCCCUCAGGACCCUCUGACAGUCCCUACAAGCCACACAAGCCCCUGGUCACCUUCCGAAACACCUGUGCAGAUGCCAGUUCCUCCCCGGCAGGCACCUGUCCCAGCGGAGAAGCUGGGCUUGCCCCACACACCAGCUGGUUAGGAAGACGCCCUCAGGGACCAGAGCAGCCGCGGUGGUGCCGGGCUCCACGCCCCGGUCCGCCCCGGAAGUCCUGUGUUUCCCCGACUCAUGCCCGCCUCCUGCACCUUCCUCUCUUCCUGGGGCCACGCCCUUCUUAACUGGGGAUGACAGGACUCUUCUGCUACACUCGGGGGAGUUAAACACUUCUCCUGCAGCCCUGGGUCGGCCCUGAGAUGUUGCCUGUCCUGCGCCCUCAGGACCUAGCACAGGACUUGACGUGCUCGCGUGGGCGCCAAGCUGAGCGACCUCAGGUCUCUGGAGCUGGAAGCAGAGGAAGAGGAUGCCACAAAGUCCAGCAGGGACCCGCCAGCCUCCAGGGCGGCCCCGGAGGAACACGGCAGGAGAGGCGGGGACCUGAAGAGGAGGAUGGUUCUGGCCCAGCAGUACCUGGCGCAGGCGUCGGAGGUGCUGCUGCAGUGCCUACACGUGGCCCUUGGCAGUGGCCUCCUGGACGUGGCGGCAGCUGCCAGCCUGGAGAUGGUGGAGUGCGUCGGCGCCCUGGACCCCGCGACUACCUGCCAGUUCCUGGCGCUGUCUCAGAGCUGCUCGGCCUCAGAGACAAUGAGGGGCGUCCUGCUCGCAGCCACGGCCAACACCAGCAGCUCCCAGCUGGCGGCCCUGCUGCAGCUACAGCACCAGCUCCGGCACCAGGACAGGACCACCACCCGCCUGGGCACCAGCGUGGAGCAGAGGCUGGCUGCCGUGUCCAAGGCUUGGCAAAAUCUCUGCGUCACUGA